GCUAGGCAGCAGCGCUCAAGGGGUGCUUUGCUGGGCCGAGGGCUCACCGAGGGAUGAGCCCCAUCCCUCAGCGAGCACUCGCCCCUUGGGAAGUGCCCAUGAGCAUUGCUAGGCAGCAGUGCUCACAUGUGCUUCCCUAAACCACAUUGCCGGGAGGGAUAAUAGGGCCUCCCUAUUAUCCUUCAGUUCUGGUUAUUCGACAUUCGGCCCACCCAUUUAUGUUGAAUAACCAGAACUCUACUUUCCAUACUAUAAUCAGUUAAAACAACAUCCCCCGAUAUAAAAACCCAAUUAUCACAACCAAUAAAACAAUUUAAAAACUUACAGCAAGCACCAUUUGAAAAUACCCAUAACCUCCAGCCACUGAAGUUAUUUGUCAAGUAUUAUCAAAAUAUUUAUCCCCAACAGCCCUGCUCAGAUCUUCCAAACUCAGGUUUAUUGCUUCUCUGAUUGGGUUCAUCCAUCUGGAAAGGGGUAUUCCUCUUUUCCUGCUGCCUUAAAUUAACCAAGCAUUAUUGUCUUUUCUAGUGAGUCAUGCGUUCUCAUGAUGUAUUGGCAAAAUAAAAUAGCCUCUCAUCUUGACUUUAGAGAAAGCUCAGGCUUGAUUUGCUCUAGGGAUUUACAGACCCUUCAACCUUUUACAGAUAAAAAUGGGAAAACAGUGUGGCCAUCUAACAAUGUGUGGUCAAGACAGCACAAUCUAUAUAUAUAAAAGAGUGAUGGCAUCACGGCAAUUCACAAAACAACAAAAGUACAGGCCCCCCAACCUCAAAAUUUGACAACACAACCCAUCAUCCACGCCUCAAGGUUGAUACAACAAAAAGAAAAGAAAAAUAAAGUCCUAAUUAGAGGGAGAGCAAUAAUUUUUUUUAUCCAAUUGCUGCCAGUUUAGAGGGCUAAUCUCUGCCCACUUGGUUGCCUAGCAACCAAGGGACAGCCAGGUUUCAGUUAGGGGACAGGCAGAUUUAGGCCUCACUUAGACUUCUUCCACAGAUUAUCUAAUUUGCACUGGAUUAUAUGGCAGUGUAGACCCAAGGCCCUUCCACACAGCUAUAUCACCCAUUUAUAAUCUUAUAUUAUCUGCUUUGCACUGGAUUAUCUUGACUCCACACUACCAUAUAAUCCACUUCAGUGUGCAUUUUAUACAGCUGUGAAGAAGGGGCCUCAGAUAAUCCAGUUCUGAGCAGAUAAUAUAAGGUUAGAAAUAUACAGUAGAGUCUCACUUAUCCAACGUAAACAGGCCGGCAGGAUAAGUGAAUAUGUUGGAUAAUAAGAAGGGAUUCAGGAAAAGCCAAUUAAACAUCAAAUUAGGUAAUCGUUAUACAAAUUAAGCACCAAAACAUCAUAUUAUACAACAAAUUUGACAGAAAAAGUAGUUCCAUGCGCAGUAAUGCUAUGUAGUAUUUACAGUAGAGUCUCACUUAUCCAACAUUCUGGAUUAUCCAACGCAUUUUUGUAGUCAAUGCUUUCAAUAUAUCGUGAUAUUUUGGUGCUAAAUUCAUAAAUACAGUAAUUACUAUAUAGCAUUACUGUGUACUGAACUACUUUUUCUGACAAAUUUGUUGUCUAACAUGUUUUGGUACAUAAAAUAUCGCAAACAACACCACUCUGAAAACAAGGGAAUUCCAGACAGGAAACAAUCAGGGCCAGCUAACACCUCCCAACAAAAAAUUCACUCAGGGAGGAAACAGCCAGGCUUUAAAGCUGCAAGGCCAUUACAUCCUAAUCAUUUUUCCUAAUUGCAGCAUUCAUACUUGCCUCCAACAAACAAAAAAACCCAAUCAGAAAUAUUGUAUAUUCACAACCUUUAGGAAAUAAUAUCCCCUGAUGGCGCAGCGUGUUAAAGCGCUGAGCUGCUGAACUUCUGGACUGAAAGGCCACAGGUUUGAAUUGGGGGAGUGGAGAGAGCCCCCACUGUUAGCUCCAGCUUCUGUCAACCCAGAAGUUCGAAAACAUGCAAAUGUGAGUGCAUCAAUAGGUACUGCUCCGGCGGGAAGGUAACGCCGCUCCAUGUAGUCAUCCCACAUGACCUUGGAGGCAUCUACGAACAACGCCGGCUUUUCGGCUUAGAAAUGGAGAUGAGCACCAACCUCCAGAGUAAGACACGACUGGACUUAAUGUCUGGGGAAAACCUUUACCCUUGACCUUAACUACCACCAAUUCCUCAAUACUUUAUUUCCCAUACCACCAGACUUCGCCACAGCAACGCGUGGCCGGGCACAGCUAGUUUUAUAUAAAGGAUGUCAAAUUACUACAGCAUUAUAUACAACAGGACUUGAACAUCCAAGGAUUUAGUAAUGGUGGGGACAGGGGCUGGAACCAAACACCAGUGGAUACUAAGAGCCCACUGUAUUUCAGUUUAGCAUUUCUUAAAAACUCAUUAUCUGUUGUGUGGGAUUGGCAACCCUCCCCCUUGUGCCUGGAACCAGCACCACAUUUAAGUUCAUUUGACUAUAGAGGUUCCUUUCUUUCUUGGAAACUCUCCACAGACUGUUGAUGCAUUAUGGGCCAGCACUGGUCCAUCAUUUUGAGUAGUUUUGCAUUAGAUAAGUGAAUUUUUCCUGAGCAUUUUGCAUAACCCAAGGUAUAUGGUAGCAACCAGAUCUGUCCUCCACAGGUAGGGUCACUCUCUGCACAUGACAGCCAAAUGUGUGCAGAGGUACUCCAAGGUACAGCUAUCACCUGAGCAUCCAGGACCAACAGUGUGUAUAGGAGAGUCUUCCCAGCUGUGCCUCUGAUAGCUUGGAGAGGUGGUAGGGUACCUCAUCCAGAAAGAAUAGAGAGUCGUAAUAUGAGGGAUCUUCAAAAAGCUUCUGCCUUUUAAUAUUUUAAUUGUUCAUUUUCCACCCAGAAAAAAAGCCUGGAAGAGUUAAAGUCUGCAAACACUUCUUAGAGGGAGAACACUAACGUCCACUCAUUUUGUGUGUAAUGGUUCGACCUAUCCACAAUGAAACAACGUCUUCAUUUUUAUGGCACCAUUCACUCAUACUUUCACACAAUGAAAUACUGUAAGUCCUUCAGUAUUAUGGCACUAUUUAUUCUUACCAUCUAGAUUGCUGAACACUCCCCACCCUCAUUUUUAAUAACAAUUUCCUUUUUCUUCUCCUGUCCUCUUUGUAAGAUUGCAGACUAGAAUCUGCUGUUCCACAUAGAAAACACAGAGUCUUUGUUCAGGGCAGCAGGACAGUAUCGUACAGCCAGGCUGGCUCCAGAUAGCAAAUUAAUUGUGAACACAACAAAAGGGCAGUGGCGGACCAAAUCUUGGCUGCCAUUUAACUCAGUGGUUAAUUCUGGUCUCACCAAAUAAAAAUGUUUCUGCAAGUGGCACUUUAAAAAUAAUUCCUCAAUAGUUCACAGUGUUGUAACAUGCAAAUACAACAAUAACUGAGAACAAAUUAAUGGCUAUAUCAGGCCUGGACAGUUUGUUCAGUAAUAAAGGGCUAAAAUUAGAUAGGCUAAGCCUCUUGGGGCUGCAAAUAGGUUUUUAGCACCUCGCUUUCCAAGGAAGGUACAAUGAAUGAUUCAUUAGGGUUGUUGUUGUUGUGUGCCUUCAAGUAGUUUCUGAUGUAGGAUGACCCUAAGGCUGCCCUAUCACAGAGUUUUCUUGUUAAGAUUUAUUCAAAGGAGAUUUGCUUUUGUCUUGCUAAAUUUACAGGGUUCAGAGCCAUAAUUCAAAGUUCAAACCACUACACUGUGGGUUGCUGUGAGUUUUCUGGGCUGUAUGGUCCUGACGUUUCGCCUACACCUAUGGCAGGCAUCCUUAGAGGCUGUGAGGUCUGUUGGAAACUAGGCAAGUGGGGUUUAUAUAUCUGUGGAGGAUCCAGGGUGGGAGAAAGAACUCUUGUCUGUUGGAGGCCAGUAUGAAUGUUGCAAUUGGCCACCUUGAUUAGCAUUGAAUAGCCUUUCAGCUUCUAAGUCUGGCUGCUUACUGCCUGGGGGAAUCCUUUGUUGGGAGGUGUUAGCUGGCCCUGAUGGUUUCUUGCCUGGAAUUCUGCAGCUUUUGAGCUUUGUUCUUUUUUUACUGUCCUAAUUUUAGAGCUUUUUAAUACUGGUAGCCAGAUGUUGUUCAUUUUCAUGGUUUCCUCCUUUCUGUUGAAAUUGUCCACAUGCUUGUGGAUUUCAGUGGCUUCUCUGAGUAGUCUGACAUGGUGGUUGUCUGAGUGGUCCAGCAUUUCUGUGUUCUCAAAUAAUAUGUUGUGUCCAGGUUGCUAUAGCUGACUUCUCUGGUUGAGUGUGUCUGCAGUGCCUUUCAUGUUCCUUUAUUUGUGUCUGGGCAAUGCUGCGUUUGGUGGUCCCUAUGAAAAUUUGUCCAC
ensembl:lncRNA